CGCUACCCUAAACAUGGUAGUAAAGAGAAUAAAAGAGUGAGUGAGAAUGUCCUUUUUAAAGCAUAACCGUUGGUGACUGUAUUACUUUUUGUUGGUGCAUACCGUGUGUAUAUUGAGUCAAAAAUAAUGUAAAAGUUUUUUUGACAAAAAAAUAAAAUAAAAGUUUAUAACUUUUGAAAAGGAAAAAAAGAUGGAACAAAUUCCCUUCAAGUAAUUGGGCACAAGAGAAAAGAAUCUGUUCGUGACGAUAUAUAGAAUGUCUCCAAGUGCUACUUUCUUUCAUUCUUUGUUAUCUUUUUGUUGAUGCUUUCCUUUGCCUCACUAACACACAAGAGAGGGAGUUAUAACUAGAACUAUAAGGAGUGGUAUAUAUGCCAGGGAAUAAAUACAACGGUGAUUCAAAUCAUAUACCAGGUCGUGUAGAGAGGUUAUUAAGAGAGAGUUAAGGAAAAGUGGAAAUAGAGGAAUUCAAUCCAACAAUGAACAGUUGUUGGGUGAUGAAUAUUUGGAGCAGGAGGAUCACAAUGUUGAGAAGAUACCCGUAAAAGAUGGAAAUAGAGUUGGGAGGCAAGAAAAUGAUGAUCAUGGAAAAUAUAGACAGAGACUUUUGGUUGUGGCAAACAGGUUGCCCGUGUCGGCAAUAAGGAAAGGUGAAGAUUCUUGGUCUUUGGAGAUCAGUGCAGGUGGCCUAGUUAGUGCUCUCUUAGGUAUGUACCUACCUUCUCUCAUGCUCUUUUUUAGUCCUGUAUGUAGCUCAGCAGAGAUAUUUUUAUGGCAAAUUAAUGCUAAAUUAGUCUCACAUUUUCAUGAGUCCAAACACAAUCUCUAAUUUGUUCCUUGUAUAAAACUUUUAGGACUAAUUUGAUUUGAUACUACAUUUGUACAUUCGUCCUGAAACAUAGGAUAUUAAGAAAGUCGGUUAUGAUAUUAAAUUGACAAUUAAUGUUGAUUUUAUAAUUUAUCUUUUAA